rnacentral:lncRNA from 1 species
GCUCUCGGAAGACAGUGUGCUCGGGUACAGGUGCUUAGGAAGGACAGGUGUGCUCUGGGUACAGUGCUAUAGGAAGACAGGUGUGCUCUGGGUACAGGUGCUAUAGGAAGACAGGUGUGCUCUGGGUAAGGUGCUAUAGGAAGACAGUGUUGGCCUGGGUACAGGUGUCAUAGGAAGACAGGUGUGCUCUGGGUACAGGUGUCAUAUGAAGACAGGUGUGCUCUGGGUACAGGUGUCAUAGGAAGACAGGUGUCAUAUGAAGACAGGUGUGUGCUGGGUACAGGUGUCAUAUGAAGACAGGUGUCAUAUGAAGACAGGUGUCAUAUGAAGACAGGUGUGCUCUGGGUACAGGUGUCAUAGGAACACAGGUGUCAUAUGAAGACAGGUGUGUUGGUGAUACAGUGGUGAGCUGCGUACAUGU